AACGUCCAACCCGACCAAGGAGGGGCAGACCGCCCGAGGUAUGUACCAUGAUUGGGGUG
rnacentral:rRNA from 1 species